GUUUUGGAAAACAGCUGUUUGUAAAAUGUCUGUGCAAGGUCAGAAGGAAAAAAAGCCUUAUAUUCUGGUCAGCCUAAACUGAACAAAUUUAUUCCUCCAGGAAAAAGAUGAAGAGGGAAGCCUCCACCACAUGCUGAUAGGCUACAGGCCAUGAGGGGGUUUUGACAAUGUUUCCCAGACAAGACCAUCUUCUAUUCCAUGUCCCAUCUACAAGAUGCAUGCUGGUAAGGGUUUGCUGCUUCUGUGAUGCCCUUGGAAUAUUAAUGCACAUGGAAAUUGUCCCACUCCAUCUUACAAGAGAGAAGAUGACUGCAAAAGGGGAAACCUCUGGACUGAACAACAACUCAAUA